rnacentral:pre_miRNA from 1 species
UUAAUACUCCCUCCGUCCGAAAAUACUUGUCGGAGAAAUGGAUAAAAAUAGAUGUAUCCAAAACUAAAAUAUGUCUAGAUACAUCCAUUCCUCUGACAAGUAUUUCCGGACGGAGGGAGUACUUA